GUAGGCAGGAACGCAGCUUCCCCACGCAGCUUGCUGGGCUCUGAGCCGAGAGGGCGGGAGGCGCAGAGCCAGGGCAGUUCCCCAAACCGCACACCAAGUUCCUUAAAGGGGGUCCCGCCUUCCAGCCCGUCUGUCCUCGUUCCGGUUGAGUCCAGCUCACUCUGUCCUCCCCUUGGGUCCCGGGCUUUGAUGCCAUCUCUCUGUCCCUGCUGGCACCCGCAUCCUGCUUUAACAUUGGCAGAGGCUUUAAGGGGAAUCCCACCCCGCCUCAAACUGCUUUCUCUUCCCGUUCCUUCUCACCUCCUUGAUUGAGGUUUGCAGGGGCCUCCAAUCUGGUCAGACUGGAAGAGGAACCGGCAGGUACCAGGGUAGUGAGUUGGCCAGGAGUCCACUGAAGGCGAUCAGAAGGAAAGAGGGCCUCUGGAGCCAGACGUGACCGGGGCCAACGUAUCUGAGAGGCAGACUUCAAGUAAGACUACCUGGGCUCAAAUCCCUGGUUCCAGGAUGGCUCCUGCCCCUUCCCUCUCUGGAAAACUUGCCAUAGUAUGCCCAAUGGACAUCGAGGAUGAGAAGGGUUGUGUUUAGAACCCCACCCUACACCCAGCCAGUCCCUCACCUAAGAGGGGGUCUCUCCCCACUCCAAACCCCGAGGAAAUCCUUAGCUAACUUUGGUGAAUGGAGGUAUGGAGAGGGAUGAUCCAGCUCCACCUAGUCUGGGUUACCCACCAUAAUGAAAACAGGGCCUCUACAAUCUGAACCCUUGUCCCAACCCUUUCUACCUCUACACCCUUGAGUCGACCACCUUCUGGCCUUGGGUUUUGAUUUUGUUGUUGUUGUUGUUCUGUUUUGUUUUUUCAUGAGAAAAAUAAAGUUUUUCAUGGCUGGGGGUAUAGCUCAGUA